GGCCGCGUAGCUCAGCUGGUAGAGCAGGUGACUGUUAAUCACCGGGUCACAGGUUCGAGUCCUGUCGCGGUCG
rnacentral:tRNA from 3 species